CAACUAUCCGGGAGUCAGGCAGUGGGUGAUAAGAUUCAUUGCCAAAAGGGAAAGAGCCCAGACCGACAGCUAAGGUCCCUAAAUCUAGACUAAGUGGUGAAGGAUGUGGGAACGCUCAGACAACCAGGAGGUUGGCUUAGAAGCAGCCAUCCUUUAAAGAAAGCGUAAUAGCUCACUGGUCAAGCGAGCCCGCGCCGAAAAUAUAACGGGGCUAAGUCUAGUACCGAAGCUUCGGAUUUGUCGAAAGACAAGUGGUAGCGGAGCAUUCUCAAGCAGACACACGGCAUACCGUAAGGAGUGCUAUCGGGCUUGAGAAGAGCUUAUGCAGGCAUGAGUAGCGAUAAACAGGAUGAGAAAUCCUGUCGCCGUAAGCCCAAGGUUUCCUGGGGAAGGAUAAUCCUCCCAUGGGUUAGUCGGUCCCUAAGCCAAGGCCGAAAGGCGUAGGUGAUGGUAAGCAGGUUAAUAUUCCUGCACCACUAGGGAUGACGUUGAAGCAAGCAGGGACGGAGAAGGGUAUGCCGAGCUGGCGAAUGGUUGUGCCAGUUCAAGCCCGUAGGCGGUUCACGUAGGACGCGACAGCGACAAACGCGUGAACACUACGCCGAGAGGCGAUGAGGUGGAGCUCCGGCUCCGUAACUCGGUGAUCCCAUGCUUCCAAGAAAAGCUGCGUGCAGAGUCACUCUAGUGACCGUACUGCAAACCGACUCAGGUGGGCGGGGUGAAUAUCCCAAGGCGCGUGAGAGAACACUGGCUAAGGAACUCGGCAAAAUGACACCGUAACUUCGGGAGAAGGUGUGCCUGUAGACGUAGAGAGACUUGCUCUCCGAGCGUCCGUAGGUUGCAGAAAUUGAGGGUAGCGACUGUUUACUAAAAACACAGGACUGUGCGAACUCGUAAGAGGACGUAUACGGUCUGACGCCUGCCCGGUGCUGGAAGGUUAAGGGGAGAUGUCAGCGCAAGCGAAGCAUCGAACCGAAGCCCCAGUAAACGGCGGCCGUAACUAUAACGGUCCUAAGGUAGCGAAAUUCCUUGUCGGGUAAGUUCCGACCUGCACGAAUGGCGUAACGACUUCCCUACUGUCUCAGCCAGUGACUCAGCGAAAUUGUAUUGGGGGUGAAGAUACCCUCUACCCGCGGCAAGACGGAAAGACCCCAUGAACCUUUACUGUAAGUUGGCAGUGAAGUUCGGGUCAGCCUGCGUAGGAUAGGUGGGAGGCUUUGAUAUCGGGAUUCCGGUUUCGAUGGAGCCAACCUUGAAAUACCACCCUGGCUGUUCUGGACUUCUAACCUAGGCCCAUUAUCUGGGUCGGGGACACUGCCUGCUGGGCAGUUUGACUGGGGCGGUCGCCUGCAAGAA
rnacentral:rRNA from 1 species